AUUGUUUCUCGGCCUUUUGGCUAAGAUCAAGUGUGGUGUCUGUUCUUAUCAAUUUAAUGUCUGAUACAUCUUCUCUCCAAGGACAUUAUAUUAAAUGGAUUUUUGGAGCUGGGAGAUGGAAGAGGAGCUUGCUCUGUCCACUCCAUGCAUCAACCGGGUAUUGUAGUGCUUCUGGGUAUGGCGCACCAAAA